GACAAAAUGCCUUUAAUAAUGUUUUUAUUGCAUUGAGUACUUUUAAUGGAACUCUUGCUUGUUUUAAAACUUGGUAAAGGAAUUAUGCAAGGUUUAAAUGGCUUGGAAAGGUAAAUGAAUAAAUGGUUAUGUUCGUGGGGUACAUAGAAUCCCCUAAGUGGUUUAAUAUGUUAAAUAGAAGGGCCCUUGGAAGUCCCCUUAAACCUAUAUGUGGUUGGCUAUGGAUAGUACUUGCAAGUAUGGUUGGUAUGAAGAUACCUCAAGAAAAUGGCCUUGAUUAAUAAAUGGUAAAUGGAUUGGUUGGUUUCUUUGUAAUGGUUUUAAUUGGGCAAUAGUGGCGGGAUAUGUAGUAAAGGUGUUGAAGAUGGAGGUCGCGGGGACACAAAAGCUGGAAAUUCAUAUUUGCCGAUGUGAGGUUGGUCUUGGUAAUCAUGUGGAUGAUGUCACACAAUAUUUCUAGGAUAUACUAGUCAUCCUAGGGUUUCCUCCAUCGUUAUGUGGAUUCACACACUAGCACCCUUUCAGCAUGGGGAGCUAAACCCAUAUAGCCCGUGGGUGGUUUAGGACGGAAAAGCUACACAACCCAGGUAAAGGUUUUAGCGCAUGCUAAACCAGUCCCCAUUCCCAGCAUGGUUAUAUAUAUGUAUGGUUGUGUGCAUAUGAAUGGUUUUACUUGGUUUUAUAAAUGAAAUUAUUUUAUCCUUAUCCUAAAAUCAUGCUAGCAUUGACCAACUAACCUGUCUACUGGCAGCUAUAUACCCAUGUUAUGCAGAAACUGACCGUUCUACUCCUCCUACAUAGUGAUUGACUCAGGG
rnacentral:lncRNA from 1 species